rnacentral:rRNA from 1 species
AUCGCAAGAGAAGCUCCUGAUCGAAGCCCCGGUAAACGGCGGCCGUAACUAUAACGGUCCUAAGGUAGCGAAAUUCCUUGUCGGGUAAGUUCCGACCUGCACGAAUGGCGUAAUGAUGGCCAGGCUGUCUCCACCCGAGACUCAGUGAAAUUGAACUCGCUGUGAAGAUGCAGUGUACCCGCGGCAAGACGGAAAGACCCCGUGAACCUUUACUACAGCUUGACACUGAACAUUGAGCCUUGAUGUGUAGGAUAGGUGGGAGGCUUUGAAGCGUGGACGCCAGUCUGCGUGGAGCCGACCUUGAAAUACCACCCUUUAAUGUUUGAUGUUCUAACCUGGCGCCGUGAUCCGGCGUGGGGACAGUGUCUGGUGGGUAGUUUGACUGGGGCGGUCUCCUCCCAAAGUGUAACGGAGGAGCACGAAGGUCAGCUAAUCCUGGUCGGACAUCAGGAGGUUAGUGCAAUGGCAUAAGCUGGCUUGACUGCGAGAGUGACGGCUCGAGCAGGUGCGAAAGCAGGUCAUAGUGAUCCGGUGGUUCUGUAUGGAAGGGCCAUCGCUCAACGGAUAAAAGGUACUCCGGGGAUAACAGGCUGAUACCGCCCAAGAGUUCAUAUCGACGGCGGUGUUUGGCACCUCGAUGUCGGCUCAUCACAUCCUGGGGCUGAAGUAGGUCCCAAGGGUAUGGCUGUUCGCCAUUUAAAGUGGUACGCGAGCUGGGUUUAGAACGUCGUGAGACAGUUCGGUCCCUAUCUGCCGUGGGCGCUGGAGAAUUGAGGGGGGCUGCUCCCAGUACGAGAGGACCGGAGUGGACGCAUCACUGGUGUUCGGGUUGUCAUGCCAAUGGCACUGCCCGGUAGCUAAAUGCGGAAGAGAUAAGUGCUGAAAGCAUCUAAGCACGAAACUUGCCCCGAGAUGAGUUCUCCCUGAGACUGUAAGUCUCCUGAAGGAACGUUGAAGACGACGACGUUGAUAGGCCGGGUGUGUAAGCGCAGCGAUGCGUUGAGCUAACCGGUACUAAUGAACCGUGAGGCUUAACCUU